AGGACGAACGCUGGCGGCGUGCUUAACACAUGCAAGUCGAGCGGAAAGGCCCUUCGGGGUACUCGAGCGGCGAACGGGUGAGUAACACGUGAGUAAUCUGCCCCUAGCUCUGGGAUAGCUCCGGGAAACCGGGAUUAAUACCGGAUACGACCACUUUAGACAUCUGUUGUGGUGGAAAGAAUUUUGGCUAGGGAUGAGCUCGCGGCCUAUCAGCUUGUUGGUGGGGUAACGCCUACCAAGGCGACGACGGGUAGCCGGCCUGAGAGGGCGACCGGCCACACUGGGACUGAGACACGGCCCAGACUCCUACGGGAGGCAGCAGUGGGGAAUAUUGCGCAAUGGGCGAAAGCCUGACGGAGCAACGCCGCGUGAGUGAUGAAGACCUUCGGGUUGUAAAGCUCUGUCGGAGGGAAGAACACAAUGACGGUACCCUCCAAGAAAGCCCCGGCUAACUACGCGCCAGCAGCCGC
rnacentral:rRNA from 1 species